rnacentral:tRNA from 1 species
GGGCGAGUAGCUCAACGGCAGAGCGCCUCCCUUACACGGAGGAGGUCGCAGGUUCAACCCCUGCCUCGCCCA